UACGUAGGAUGCAAGCGUUGUCCGGAAUUAUUGGGCGUAAAGAGCGCGCAGGCGGCCCAUCAAGUCAGAUGUGAAAUAACCAGGCUUAACCUGGUGGGGUCAUUUGAAACUGGCGGGCUAGAGUCCAGCAGAGGAUAGCGGAAUUCCCGGUGUAGUGGUGAAAUGCGUAGAUAUCUGGAAGAACACCAAUGGCGAAGGCAAUGUUCUGGCUCGUUUCUGACGCUCAGGUGCGAAAGCCAGGGGAGCGAACGGG
rnacentral:rRNA from 1 species